rnacentral:rRNA from 1 species
UACGUAGGUGGCAAGCGUUGUCCGGAUUUACUGGGCGUAAAGAGCGCGCAGGCGGUCGUACAAGUCGCGUGUGAAAGCCCCCGGCUCAACUGGGGAGGGUCACGCGAUACUGUUCGACUCGAAGGCAGGAGAGGGAAGCAGAAUUCCCGGUGUAGUGGUGAAAUGCGUAGAUAUCGGGAGGAACACCUGUGGCGAAAGCGGCGCACUGGACCACAACUGACGCUGAGGCGCGAAAGCUAGGGGAGCAAACAGG